rnacentral:rRNA from 1 species
CCUACGGGCGGCAGCAGUGAGGAAUAUUGGUCAAUGGGCGAGAGCCUGAACCAGCCAAGUCGCGUGAGGGAGUACUGCCCUAUGGGUUGUAAACCUCUUUUGUCGGGGAGCAAAAGCCGGACGUGUCCGGCUGUGAGAGUACCCGAAGAAAAAGCAUCGGCUAACUCCGUGCCAGCAGCCGCGGUAAUACGGAGGAUGCGAGCGUUAUCCGGAUUUAUUGGGGUUAAAGGGUGCGCAGGCGGAUUUUUAAGUCAGCGGUCAAAUCGUGGGGCUCAACCCCAUCCAGCCGUUGAAACUGGGGAUCUAGAGUGUGCGAGAGGUAUGCGGAAUGCGUGGUGUAGCGGUGAAAUGCAUAGAUAUCACGCAGAACCCCGAUUGCGAAGGCAGCAUACCGGUGCACAACUGACGCUCCGGCACGAAAGCGUGGGGAUCGAACAGGAUUAGAUACCCUUGUAGUC